UGUGGCGGCAAAUCAUUUUUGGGCCGCCAGACGGAACUCGGGUCGUCUGUGCACGUGUGUGUAUUGUUUGCAAUUUGCUUUCUAUAGACUCUCACUUGGAAGGAGGGCAAUUAAAGGGGCUAAUUGAGAUGCAUCAUUGACUGGAGGAAACCGCGGCAUGUUGAUUUACUGACAGGAAUGCUGCGGAGACACGACCGACUGACGGACUCAUCGCUCGCUGGACUUGGCAGCCGGUGAGGGCUUGAUGUUGAGAGAAAGAAAAUCCCGCCAGCGUUGAUAUUUCUCUGCAGGUCUGCGGGAAUCUCAUCGCUUACACGGGAGCAACUGAGAAGUGAAAGGAGCAACGCAAAUACAGCUGACGGAACAAGGGAAGUGCGAAAUAAAAUGCAGCACCAACACACGUCGUGUUUUCAGACGAUGCCGUGUUGCAAAGACGAGAUGAGACAAAUCAGACCUUCACUCUUUCCUGAAGGCCGAUCUACUUCCUGGUACCGACUUCCUGUCGCUCCUACCGUGAUGUCAUUAUCGCAUUAGGACCUUUAUCGUGGGUUUGAAGGGAUUGACCAGUGCACCAUGUGACAGCUCUGCAUCGGAUGCACAUUGUCAGGGGAUCCUGGAACUCAGUGUGACACAAUUAUUUAAAUCACAUUCAAUCCCGUAGACAUUUAUAACCAGUUCUUCAGCAGUAAUGUUGUAAAAAAAGGGAAUAAAUGAAAUUUGUGUUUUGGCUCCAACUGCAACAGCGACGUUUUAUUGACACGUUGGAGGUUUUUUUUCAUCGUCG
ensembl:lncRNA